rnacentral:lncRNA from 1 species
CCUGCCAUGGCCCGGAGUAUCCCUGCCAAUGCAGCUUGUUUCCUGGCUUAUGAGUUGACGAGAUCUAGCCUCGGCUGAUUUGAUUGAUUGUUAUAACCAUUGUUGUUUCGUCAGGUUGAUUGUUUGCUGAUUAUGACCCUGCAUCUUGCUGCCAUUGAAUGAAAAAGGGUUCAAAUGUUAAUUCUUUUCUUUCCUUUUCUCCUGGGUUAUCAAUGCAGUCAAGCAAAGUCUGAUUGUUCAGUUGCCUAUGUGGUUUACCAGUACAAUGAACGGAAAAAGUCGUAACGGUUCCGAUGACUGAAAUUACUAGUAAACAUAACUCGAACACUAAAACUUGUCAAUUUUACGAGUGUGCAUCGUUUCCUCAUUCGACAAUUCCACAGAAAACUCGCAGCUUUAAACAACUACUGAACUACAUCUGAUAAAACCCACCUGAAUUGUGGGAUUGUGUUGACUGUGUCCUAACAAGACUAGUUACGUCUCUUUUUUCCAUGUUUAUAAAGAAUUUUUAAUAAGAAAUUAAUCAUGGAGCUUGGUUAGCUUAAGAAUAGUCGGUAAGAAGAAGUUUUCUCAAAAGGGGUAUCAAUAAAAAUAGGAAGGAAAACUAUGAAACAGUCAGAUCUCACACCACAAAACUAGGAAGCCUAUAAAUAGCAGUCAGUAACAAACAAUAAACACAGCACAAUGAAGUAGAAGAAGAAAUCUCUUCUUUUAGAGACUCAGAACUUCCAGAGAAAGCAAUCAAACAAAGAAAAAAAAGAGUAUUCGAGAUAUCGAGUAGGGAUUAAUUGGUCUGAGUAAUUAAUCAUGGCAACAGUAAUGCAGGAAGAAGCAGGAAGAACAGUGCAGAAGGCAGCCACUCACCAUUUCCCUCCUGUUCCUCUUGUUUCCAGACUGGAUCAUUUGGAUUCCCUUGUAAGCCUUCAUUUCUCCUUCAUCCUUUUUUUAUUAUAACUUUCGUUGUAAUACUAUGUGUUGAUCGAUCUGUGU